UACGAAGGGGGCUAGCGUUGCUCGGAAUCACUGGGCGUAAAGGGUGCGUAGGCGGGUCUUUAAGUCAGGGGUGAAAUCCUGGAGCUCAACUCCAGAACUGCCUUUGAUACUGAGAGUCUUGAGUACGGGAGAGGUGAGUGGAACUGCGAGUGUAGAGGUGAAAUUCGUAGAUAUUCGCAAGAACACCAGUGGCGAAGGCGGCUCACUGGCCCGUUACUGACGCUGAGGCACGAAAGCGUGGGGAGCAAACAGG
rnacentral:rRNA from 1 species